UACGGAGGGUCCGAGCGUUAAUCGGAAUUACUGGGCGUAAAGCGCAUGCAGGCGGUCUGUUAAGCCAGAUGUGAAAGCCCGGGGCUCAACCCCGGAAUAGCAUUUGGAACUGGCAGACUAGAGUUUUGUAGAGGGGGGUAGAAUUUCAGGUGUAGCGGUGAAAUGCGUAGAGAUCUGAAGGAAUACCAGUGGCGAAGGCGGCCCCCUGGACAAAAACUGACGCUCAGAUGCGAAAGCGUGGGUAGCAAACAGG
rnacentral:rRNA from 1 species